GCCUUGCGCUAUCAGAUGAGCCUAGGUCGGAUUAGCUAGUUGGUGAGGUAAUGGCUCACCAAGGCGACGAUCCGUAACUGGUCUGAGAGGAUGAUCAGUCACACUGGAACUGAGACACGGUCCAGACUCCUACGGGAGGCAGCAGUGGGGAAUAUUGGACAAUGGGCGAAAGCCUGAUCCAGCCAUGCCGCGUGUGUGAAGAAGGUCUUCGGAUUGUAAAGCANUUUAAGUUGGGAGGAAGGGUACUUACCUAAUACGUGAGUAUUUUGACGUUACCGACAGAAUAAGCACCGGCUAACUCUGUGCCAGCAGCCGCGGUAAUACAGAGGGUGCAAGCGUUAAUCGGAAUUACUGGGCGUAAAGCGCGCGUAGGUGGUUCGUUAAGUUGGAUGUGAAAUCCCCGGGCUCAACCUGGGAACUGCAUCCAAAACUGGCGAG
rnacentral:rRNA from 1 species